rnacentral:rRNA from 1 species
AUGGAGAAGUUCACCUUCGAUGAUGUUAGCUGCAUGGAUUCCUCAACACUUGAGCCCGAGAUGGAGAGCUUCAUGGUUGAUUAUGGUGAGGUGGAUUCAGAUGUCAAGGAGCCAAGCUCUACUAUUUCACUUGUUGACACGAGUCCGGUUGAAAUUUCUACUACCACACCUCACUUGGUAUCUUCAAUUGAGGUAGUCCUGAAGCUUCUUCCUAACUAUCUCAGGUAUGAUCUCAGCUUUCUGGACAAGACAUGUCAUAUCACUGAUAUUGCCUAUGCGCCAUGUGACUUGUUGUUGAUACAUGUUCCUGAUUUGCUCAGUAGAUAUACUUAUAUGAUAGGGUACUCUAUUGAUGACUUAGAGGGCAUUAUCUCUGUCACUUGUAUUGGCUUGGUUGUUGAGUGUUCUUUCAGGUUGAUGCUCGUGUACCAUUUACUGCAAGUUAACCGAGUUCGAGAUGACAUUCCCUGGGAUCCUGGUGGAUUCACGCAUGGUGAUGAGGAGAAGUAG